GACAGAGGGUGCAAACGUUGUUCGGAAUUACUGGGCGUAAAGCGCGUGUAGGCUGCUCUGCAAGUCGGGUGUGAAAGCCCCGGGCUCAACCUGGGAAGUGCACUCGAAACUGCAGAGCUCGAGUCCUGGAGAGGAAGGCGGAAUUCUCGGUGUAGAGGUGAAAUUCGUAGAUAUCGAGAGGAACACCGGUGGCGAAGGCGGCCUCUGGACAGUGACUGACGCUGAGACGGCGAAAGCGUGGGGAGCAAACAGGG
rnacentral:rRNA from 1 species